CAGUCGCCGCGGGAAUACGAAGGGGGCUAGCGUUGCUCGGAAUGACUGGGCGUAAAGGGCGCGUAGGCGGAUUGUUUAGUUAGGCGUGAAAUUCCUGGGCUCAACCUUGGGACUGCCUUUGAUACUGUUUGUCUUGAGUUCGAGAGAGGUGAGUGGAACUGCGAGUGUAGAGGUGAAAUUCGUAGAUAUUCGCAAGAACACCAGUGGCGAAGGCGGCUCACUGGUCCGGAACUGACGCUGAGGUGCGAAAGCGUGGGGAGCAAACAGGAUUAGAUACCCCUGUAGUCCCUGUCUCUUAUAC
rnacentral:rRNA from 1 species